GGGGCGCUGCUGCCUCGUCGCCGCCGGUCCGCGGCGGGGCCGGAGCGGCUGUCCGGGGCCGCCAUUUCCUCGGCGUGCGCUGCGGAGCGGUUCCGGCGGCCGGUGCCGGCAGGAGAGGGACGCGGUGGCGGAGCGGAAUGCAAAUAUUGAAAUUUGUUCUAAAGAUUGGCGGAAAACAGAGAUGAAACCACUAUCUGCUUUGAUUAAUCUAUUACUAAACUCAGCCUGAUUGUAUACAAAUUUCUUGGGGGAAAAACUAUUGAAGUCCAAGAGGAGACCCCUACAUAUGAAGAGAUGACGUGUAAUGGCCCGGAUAAGUCAGAAGCUUGUGCCAGUUCAGACGCUGACUCUGACCAGGAAUGGGCGCAGGAGCGCUACCGACUGGGGACUUUUGCGGAAUUUCCGCGUGGCUGUCCGGUUUCGGCAUCGGCGCUGGCACGAGCUGGCUUUGUUUAUGCUGGAGAAGGCGACAAAGUGAAGUGCUUCAGUUGCCAUAAAACCGCUGAGGGAUGGGCGCCUGGGGAUUCCGCGAUCGAGAGGCACAGGAAGCUUUCCCCAAAUUGCAAAUUUAUUACCGAAUCUACUUUUCUGGAAAAUAACAUACAUCCUGUCGCCCAGAACUGCCAGCACAGAACUGAAAAUGGUUCCGGUAAUUCGGGCCUCCCACAUGCGCUGGAUGACUCAUCUGAUGUGGAGGCAGAUUACCUUCUGAGGACUAGGCAGGUUGUGGAUAUGUCAGAUACCCUCUAUCCUAAAAACCCUGCCAUGUGCAGUGAAGAAACCAGAUUAAAGUCUUUUCACAGCUGGCCCCUCAAUGGGCAGUUGACUCCAAAGGAAUUGGCUAGUGCUGGAUUCUAUUAUACAGGUGUUGGUGAUCAAGUGGCCUGUUUUUGUUGUGGUGGAAAAUUGAAACAGUGGGAACCCAGCGACAGAGCUUGGUCAGAACACAAGAGGCAUUUUCCCAAAUGCUUUUUUGUCCUGGGCCGGGAUGUUGGAAAUCUUCCAUGUGAAGAAGGGAGGAGUGGUCUGAACAGCGGAGAGCAUCCAAGGAAUCCAUCUAUGGCAAAUUAUGGAAGACGUUUACAAACGUUUUUAACUUGGGUAUAUCCUGUUGACAAGGAGCAGCUUGCUGAAGCUGGGUUCUAUAGCAUAGGUAAUGGUGAUCAUGUUGUGUGUUUCCACUGUGGUGGAGGAUUGCAAGAAUGGAAGGAAAAUGAAGACCCAUGGGAUCAACAUGCCAAAUGGUAUCCUGGGUGCAGAUUUGUGAUAAAAGAAAAGGGGCUAGAAUUUAUAAAUAAUGUUCACUUAAGAGAUGGAUGUGGGGAUUCAACAACAGAAGCUGCUGAAGGGACAAUACUUCCUAAAGAUUAUCUCUUACAGAAUCCUUUGGUACAAAGUGCCAUAGACAUGGGUUUCAGUUUGUCUGAGAUUAGGAGCACCAUGGAAAAGAAAUUGCAGAUGUCUGGAGAAAGUCACACAUCUGUUGGGGAGCUGGUAGCAGACUUAAGUGCUCAGAAAGAAAAUACAAGGGAAGAACAACCAAAUGAAAUCCCAGUUGAGGAAAAUGAGCUUGUUCAGUUACAAAACCUCUGUGUGUACUUUCAUUUCAGCUCUUUAGUCUAUGGAAUAUAUCUUAUUGUUAUCUGUAAAAUAAGUAGUAUUUGUACCUCAAAAGUGUAUGAUAUUGAAAUAGUAGUCUAGUGUGCUUCUAGAAAAGGUUAUACAUGCUACUUAAGGUCAAAAUUAUUGUGACAAUGACUUUUAAAAUUAAAAGCAGGGUUCACUAUAGAUGUCAGGACUGGUGGCAAAAUGACAUGGACACAGCAACGUGCUGUCAAAUAUUCAGUAUAAUCAAAAUGAAAAAUCUUAGGAGGGGAUUCUUUAUUUUUCAGUAUAAAAUUUUGCAUGGGACAGAAGCACUUUCCUUCUUGGCCAAUAAGAGCAAGUAUCCUUGUAGAUGGUGUUUGUUUCCAGCUGUUCCAGCUGUGCUGGGACAUGCGCGUUCUGCUCGGAGCCAUUGUGCGCUCUGCAGACAGAGCAAACCCAACAUUUCUCACUCGGGACACUUUAAGACAAGCACAUGGGUGAAUUCACAGGGAGGGAAAAGGCCGUCUGGUUGGCGUGAUAGGCAAAAAACGUACCAGCCCACUCUUCCUAACGAGAUUUUAAAUUGACGUUAUGGGGGAAAAGAACUUGCGAUGAAGCCAGACGUGAUUUUUGUGGCUGGCUGUGCAGGGUGUUCCCGAGUGGCAGGACAAGGUGUUGGAAGUUUGCGUUUUCAAAUGGGGCAACUGGAAUAACAAAGAGCUUGUGUACAAUGCAAAAUUGAUUCUUUCUGUAUCACAACUGAUAAAGCUUUUGAAGCACAGGCAUUUUGAAAACAGGCAGGGAAGGAAAUCACAUCCUCAUUCUUUUAAUUGGGGAAAAAAACCCCUCCAAAUUAUUUAACCAGUAUCAAUGAGCCUUUCUUGCACCUUCCGCGCAGGUUUUGGGAGUUGUCAAUGGGAAGUCCGUGAAAAGAACGGUUCCUGAUUGAAAUAUGCAUAUCCUAAAUUCUAUAGGUAUUUCGAGCUCCUGCGAAUACAGAGAGCUGAAUUCCCUUCUGGUGUUUUCCUGGGAGCUGUAAUGAGAUCUCAGUACUGAAGAGAAGUUAAGACGCUUGCAGGAAGAAAAGCUUUGUAAAAUCUGUAUGGCUAAGAACAUAUCAGUUGUCCUCAUUCCCUGUGGUCACCUAGUUGCCUGUAAGGAAUGUGCUGAAGCAGUUAAUGAAUGUCCUCUGUGUCGUGCAAAUAUUAUGAAAAGGCAGGAGAUUUUUAUGUAUUAGUGAAAUAUACAGCACUGUGGAUGCAAACAUUUCCUGCUUUAUUGCUUUAAAUAUAAGUUAUGUAAUGUCAAAAACUAAGUUAAUUCCAGGACGUAAUCAUAUGGCAGUAUUUAGAUUUUUCUGCUAUCAAUCUCUAAAUACAUUUUAACAUGUUAAAUUAUUUUUCUUAAGUGAUUCUUUUUUGUAUGUAAAAGCCAAUACUGAAAGGCAAAUAUUUAUAUUCUGUAACUUCAAUUUCCAGACCUGAUGUGGGAAAGCCUGGGUAAUGCAAAGCUUUAUUUAUGUGAUCAUUCCUUUGCUUCGCUUUGCUAGGACCCUGUGUGACUGACGUUUAUGCAAAUACAGCUGUAUAAAGAGUCGGCCCUAUAUAAAAUUUGUAAAUAAGUGAAUUUAAAAAAUAUUUUAUACAGGUGUAUUGUAUCUGAGAUUUUAUCUUCUCAAAAACGUUGUGUAAGAUUGAAAAUGUUUGCUUCUGCAACUUUGGUUGUGACAAUUCAGAGACUGCAGGGCAAGCCGCUGCUGGAAGAUUUCACCUUACGCGUGUCGCUGCUGUGAUGAAGUUUGUCUGGUUUGAUGUAGGAUUCCUGUCCCCCCCUUUUUUCUGUUUAGAUGUAUAAAUUGGCUUCAGUAGAUUGGUUUUAGCUGUCUGGUUUUGGCAGCAAUGCCUCUGUAUAUAAAAUGUAUAUUCUCUUGAAAGAGAAUAGAAACGGAGGAGAUUUGAUGUCCCUUGUGCCCUUCAUGAAGAAGCGGCCUCAGUCUAAAAUUCCCUCCCAGCACAAAAAGCUGUUCAUUGGUUGACUUUUUGUUCUUCUGUGCUUAUUUUGAAUAUUUAGCAUUAUCCCAAGUCACUUGUCUGCUGAAGCUUUGAGGUGCUUUUGUUUGACUAGUUUUUCAUAAAAACUCUGUCUCCAUGAAGAUGCUUCUUUAGCAAUCCACCAGUAAUGUUAGAAACACUUCAUUUUUGUUCGUGUCGGUUUGCAGCACUGAAAUUGAAGAGUUGAGAACCGUUCUAGUGAGAGUCACCUUAAAAUAGUUAAUGAAAUAUUUACUACCAGGCUGUUCCUCAAUUCUCCAAAAGGUAUCACAGCUUUAUGCUCAAGUACAGCUGCUUGACAAUCGCUCUCAUUAUGUAACUUCCUUAUUUUGUGGAGCUACUCGUGUGUUCUGUGUAUAUAUUUGUAUCUUUAAGUCUUACACACUAGUAUAUUUAGAAUAUACAGAAUAUAGUUUUUCACACGAUCAAAGUUUAAUGUCUACUUUUUCUAUUUUUUUAAAUAUGUGCUGUGAUUAUAUGCUGGUGUAAUGUUAUGAAUAGUUAAAAUAAAGUGCAACCCAGUCGUUCCUGA